CCCGCACAAGCGGUGGAGCAUGUGGUUUAAUUCGACGCAACGCGAAGAACCUUACCUGGGCUUGACAUCCCGAUCGUACCUGCUGGAAACAGCGGGGUCAGUUCGGCUGGAUCGGAGACAGGUGCUGCAUGGCUGUCGUCAGCUCGUGUCGUGAGAUGUUGGGUUAAGUCCCGCAACGAGCGCAACCCUUGUCCUUAGUUGCCAUCAUUUAGUUGGGCACUCUAAGGAGACUGCCGGUGUUAAACCGGAGGAAGGUGGGAUGACGUCAAGUCCUCAUGGCCCUUAUGUCCAGGGCUACACACGUGCUACAAUGGCCGGUACAGAGGGCAGCUACCUGGUGACAGGAUGCUAAUCUCGAAAACCGGUCUCAGUUCGGAUCGAAGUCUGCAACUCGACUUCGUGAAGCUGGAUUCGCUAGUAAUCGCGCAUCAGCUAUGGCCGCGGUCGAAUACGUUCCCGGGCCUU
rnacentral:rRNA from 1 species